GACAGAGGUGCCGAGCGUUAGGCGGAAUCACUGGGCUUAAAGCGUGUGUAGGCGGGCCGUUAAGUAUCUUGUGAAACUCCCCCGGCUCAACCGGGGAAUGGCUGGAUAUACUGGCGGUCUUGAGCAAUCUAGGGGCAGAUGGAACAGACGGUGGAGCGGUGAAAUGCGUAGAUAUCGUCUGGAACGCCAAAGGUGAAGACAGUCUGCUGGGGAUUUGCUGACGCUGAGACACGAAAGCCAGGGGAGCGAACGGG
rnacentral:rRNA from 1 species